UACGUAGGGCGCAAGCGUUGUCCGGAAUUAUUGGGCGUAAAGAGCUCGUAGGCGGUCUGUUACGUCCGCUGUGAAAACCCAGGGCUUAACCCUGGGCUUGCAGUGGAUACGGGCAGACUAGAGGCAGGUAGGGGAGAAUGGAAUUCCCGGUGUAGCGGUGAAAUGCGCAGAUAUCGGGAGGAACACCGGUGGCGAAAGCGGCGCACUGGACCACAACUGACGCUGAGGCGCGAAAGCUAGGGGAGCAAACAGG
rnacentral:rRNA from 1 species